AAUGCAAGUCGAGCGGACAGAUGGGAGCUUGCUCCCUGAUGUUAGCGGCGGACGGGUGAGUAACACGUGGGUAACCUGCCUGUAAGACUGGGAUAACUCCGGGAAACCGGGGCUAAUACCGGAUGGUUGUUUGAACCGCAUGGUUCAAACAUAAAAGGUGGCUUCGGCUACCACUUACAGAUGGACCCGCGGCGCAUUAGCUAGUUGGUGAGGUAACGGCUCACCAAGGCAACGAUGCGUAGCCGACCUGAGAGGGUGAUCGGCCACACUGGGACUGAGACACGGCCCAGACUCCUACGGGAGGCAGCAGUAGGGAAUCUUCCGCAAUGGACGAAAGUCUGACGGAGCAACGCCGCGUGAGUGAUGAAGGUUUUCGGAUCGUAAAGCUCUGUUGUUAGGGAAGAACAAGUACCGUUCGAAUAGGGCGGUACCUUGACGGUACCUAACCAGAAAGCCACGGCUAACUACGUGCCAGCAGCCGCGGUAAUACGUAGGUGGCAAGCGUUGUCCGGAAUUAUUGGGCGUAAAGGGCUCGCAGGCGGUUUCUUAAGUCUGAUGUGAAAGCCCCCGGCUCAACCGGGGAGGGUCAUUGGAAACUGGGGAACUUGAGUGCAGAAGAGGAGAGUGGAAUUCCACGUGUAGCGGUGAAAUGCGUAGAGAUGUGGAGGAACACCAGUGGCGAA
rnacentral:rRNA from 1 species